GACGAACGCUGGCGGCGUGCUUAACACAUGCAAGUCGAACGGAAAGGCCCGGCUUUUGUUGGGUGCUCGAGUGGCGAACGUGUGAGUAACACGUGAGUCACCUGCCCUUGACUCUGGGAUAACUUCAGGAAACUGGGGCUAAUACCGGAUAGGAGCGCCUGCUGCACGGUGGGGGUUGGAAAGUUUCGGCGGUUGGGGAUGGACUCGCGGCUUAUCAGCUUGCCGGUGGGGUAGUGGCUUACCAAGGCUUUGACGGGUAGCCGGCCUGAGAGGGUGACCGGCCACAUUGGGACUGCUACACGGCCCGGACUCCUACGGGAGGCAGCAGUGAGGAAUGUUGCACCAUGGGCGGAAGCCUGAUGCAGCAAUGCCGCGUGCGGGAUGACGGCCUUCGGGUUGUAGACCGCUUUCGCCUGUGACGAAGCGUGAGUGACGGUAAUGGGUAAAGAAGCACCGGCUAACUACGUG
rnacentral:rRNA from 1 species